rnacentral:lncRNA from 1 species
AAGAAGCGGGGGGCGGGAGACGAAAAAAGUCCCCGUUUGGUGUGUGCGGCGCGCUGGCUGGAGAGGGCAAGAGCCCGCGCUGCAGCGGCAGGAGCCCGGCGGCUGCACAGGCGGGAGGAGGCAGCAGCCGCAGCUGGAGUGGGGAGGCGAAGAGGCGGCCGCGCCGGCAGGGGAGAUGCUGCUGCUGCUUUGGGAGCCUCGGGUGGCGUGUUAGGCUGGUCGGGGGGUGGAAGCUCCUAGGACGCGGGGAGAGAGCUGGCAGAUGUCCCAGGCCAGGGAACCUCUUCCUCCGGGGCCUGACGGGCCGGCGCCUGCAGCUCCGCCUGAACGCAGCCUUCUGCGCUCGCUGCUUCGCGUUGGCAGUUUUGAUUUCAAGAAUUCUGCUAGUGAUAUAAAAUAAGUCUCUGAAG